UCCUUUCCUACUUAUUCCCUUUUCCUACUUACUCCAAACUUUCACUCUCUCCAAAUUUUUGCCGUCGUCAACUCUCUCCAAAUUGCACUAGCGACCCUUCGCCUUCCUUCACACCGACGACCCUUCGCCUCCCAUUUGCACCGGUGACCCUUCGCUUCCCUUCACUGUUCCUGCAUCAACCUCAGCACCACCGACCUCGAUGACAGUGACGCUGCCGACGAGUCCCACGAUCUCCCUCUCAUCAAGUUCUUAGUUUUGGAUGAAGCAAAUAGAGUUCUGGAUGUUGGAUUGAAGAGGAAUUGAGGGUGGUCUUUAAGUGUUUGCCAAAAAAUCGGCAAGAGACAGGCAUUUGGUCUACCAUCGUAGUUGUCUCCACCUGCAGGACCGAAGAGCUAGACGCUUACAGUGUGAUGGUACAAGGGAUAUGUCAAUGGAGAAGCAUGUCUUAUAACUGGAACUUCUUAGGAUUAAACUAUUUGAGCAACUAUUCAAUUAGUAACUAGACAAUGUUAUAUGUAAAUUGAUAAUAUAUUUUGAUGUUAAUAUUACGUUAGUUUGGAGACAUUUGUGGUGUUGUUAAUUAGUUACAUUUGUGGUAUUGUGUUAAUUA